UACAGAGGUCCCAAGCGUUGUUCGGAAUUACUGGGCGUAAAGCGCAUGUAGGCGGCAGCGCAAGUCGGGCGUGAAAUCCCACGGCUCAACCGUGGAAGUGCACUCGAAACUGCGCAGCUAGAGUCCUGGAGAGGAAGGUGGAAUGCUUGGUGUAGAGGUGAAAUUCGUAGAUAUCAAGCGGAACACCGGUGGCGAAGGCGGCCUUCUGGACAGUGACUGACGCUGAGAUGCGAAAGCGUGGGGAGCAAACAGG
rnacentral:rRNA from 1 species